ACCACUGCAUUUUCCAUGACAGCAGACCUAUAUCGUUAUCGUGUAAAAAAAAAAAGACAACUAUGUUUUUGAUUACGUGCUUUUAUUUUGAAAGUGACUACUUGAAGCCUCGGAUCUAUCAAUGUAUUUCCGGUAGCUUUACAAUCGUUCUACCUUUGGCAUCACACCGCGCCUUGUCGGGACAUACUUUUACACACUUAGGCCUUCUGGUGCUGCACACGCUGACAGUGCUUUCUAACAACCGAGUUUCUCUGGCAAUACAUUGGUAAAGGGAAGGCUGGAGCUGGAAGCAGGAGACCCCCAGGACCUUCAGGAUGGGGACUGGACCUCCAAAGCCAAACAGCUGGUGGCCCCUCUGUCCCACACAGAAGGAAAGGCCCCCACCCCCAGUCCCGUAGCCCGCCGGUCUCGGUGUGAGAGAUCGCGCUUUGAAACCUCGCUGGGUUUAUUGACGCGGCGGUUUGCGGAGAUCAUGAAGCGCUCCCAUGACGGCGUGGUGGACCUGAACCUCGUCGCCACCGAGCUCAACGCCCCAAAGAGACGGCUCUACGACGUCACCAACGUCCUGGAAGGAAUCAAACUCAUCAAAAAGAAGUCUAAAAACUACAUAGAGUGGCUGGGCGGUGAUGUGAACACAGCAGCAAAGGAUGGGCUGCAGGAUCUGGUGGAGGAGGAGAGGAUUCUGGACGAGUUGAUCUUCAGCUGCACCAGGCAGGUUCACCGGCUCUACGAGGACCAGAGCGCUGAGAAGUUUGCCUAUUUGACCUACGAAGAUAUCCAAAAGAUCCCCAGCCUGAAGGAACAGACUGUGAUCGUGAUCAAAGCUCCUGCAGAGACAAAACUGGAGGUGCCACACCCAGAGGAGAGCCUGCAGGUCCACCUCAGCAGCACUCAGGGGCCCAUCGAGGCGUUCCUCUGCUCUGAGAACCCCGUCCCUAUGGGGGCCUCGGGCGGCUCUGUGUCCCUCGGCAGCCACGUUCACCCCUACUCAAACGGGAAGACCUCCACCCAAUUCGUGCCUUACUCGCCCUUCGUCCAGGUGUCUUCCAAAGGUAACCUUAACUUCUCCAGCUCCAUAUGUAACGGACAGCGGCAUCCAACUAAUCAUCCAACUAUCAGUAAUGGUGUGCCAGCUGCCAGUCAGAGUGCAUUACGCAGGGCCCUGUCUCUGGAACCCAUCGGUCAAUUAACCUUCUGCAGUUGUUAUGCCCUUGAACACAACUUUUGAUCUCAAAACAGCAAAGUCUGAAAUGAGACUGAUGUAGGUCAGUGCGUCUGGAGCCUGUCUGGAGCUGCAGAGCCUCAGAGCUCCACGCCUAGUCCUCAUCGACCCCUGCAGCCGCCGCCGAGCCCACGCUCAGGACCCCGCUCUCUGGGCUACGUGAGGACACAACCAGCCGCCUGAGCUGACCUGCUUGCAGGAAGAUGUGCCUGCUGCAGAGGAGGAGAAGGGGGAAGAGGAAGGGAGCGAUCCUUCCUUCCAUGGCUGCAGCCGUCGACGUUCCCGCAGUAAACCUGCAGUGACGCAGCAAACUCCAAACUCUGAUGCAACUUCUCUCCCCCCCACCCCCCCCCACCCCCCCACAAAAAGAAAGCAAACACUGUACAUCCACUCCUGUGCGGCUGCAAAGCAAUCCAGGUCCGAGAGACAUCCUCUCCCGAACAGCGAAAGUGUCCGUCAUCCACUCGUCUUACCUCGAAUGCCCUCUGAUGGAAACCAACGAGUGCAAGGACGACUUUUGCAAAAGAUCGAAAAGCUCUCUUGACGACUUUCUAUCUCCUGAUUCUCCUUUCCCCCCCCCCCUCCUUCUCCUCUGCUCUCAUUCUCCGCUCCUUCCCACUCCUCUGGCUUUUAGACAAUGCCCCCGAAAAACGAUCGUUGUAUCAGACAGAGUGUGGUGGUGUGCAGCUGUGAGAGUGGCAGAGAGUGUGUGAGCUCAGUGUGUGUCAGCGAGUUUGGUGAGUGUGUGUGUGUCUGUGCUCUCGAUUUUGACUCCGCAGCACGUCUGGGUCCUGCAUCCGUACUCUGGUACUUGGCUGGCUCUGUCUCAUCGUGACUUUGUGUGUGUUUAUGCAUCUGUGUUCGUGAGAGUUUGUCUGCGUUGGCGUGACACAGCAAUCAUCUGACCUGCCUCGUCAUCGCUAUCCGGGGGCCGGGGAUGUUCGGAGUUCCCGGGGCGUGGUGUCGCGGCCUGACCACACCCCCAUAUAUAUCGCUUAUUCUGUCUUUCGGUUUCUUUCAUCUGACUCGCGUCGCUUUUUUUUCCCCACCUUGACCAAAUCCUCUGGACUACAGCAGCGACUGAGGGGAGAGCGAGCAAGGACUCCCAGAUCUCUCAUUCUCCUCUUCACAACGCAGUUUUAAUUUCUCGUCUCCUUUUUCCUCUCUAUUUGCGCGGCUCGUGUCGGGCUGUCAAGGACGAUCUCUUUUUUGUCUUUGCAUCCUAGAGAUGGUUCCUCGCUGCUCGCCUGUACCGCUGUGCGUCUCCAGGAUUCAAACCUCUAAUGGAAAGCAGGGAGGACAUACUGUAGGGAUCAAGGAAGGAUGGAAAGAUUAACUUCUCCGAACAACUUUUCCUGUCUAUCCCAAAAAUAGGCUCUAAUAUCGAACAAAAGAGGGACGUAGAAGAAGACGUUUGAUCAUCAAGAGAGGGGAUUUGAGAAACCACAUGUACAAUAUAAUGUAGUCCAGAAAAAACAAAUGAAGGCCGCAAUAUAUAUCGUUGAGUGUGUAGCUGAUAGAGCUUUUCAUUUUGAGCUUGAACCCGUUUCAGCCCAACCUGGUAUUGUGUCAUUUCAGACCGAAUUUCUCAAUAUGUCCCUGGGCCUGAAAUGAAUCGGUUGAAGCACGUCUGUUUGUUUUUAAUAUGCAAACUUUAGAGUCUGCUUAAUGUCAUGACUAAUGAAUGGACUAACUUGCCAUCAACCCUUUAUAACUCAUGAAAUGUGAAGAGUUAGCAUUAGCUUUGAACUGAGAAAAUAAAACAAUUCUUGGUUCAUUAACUCGUACGCAACUAUUUAAAUAAUACUCCAAUCAUUUAACUUAUACUUUUUACAUUUAGUGUUGUAUAUCAUUUAAAUAAAUGUAUUGUUUUGCUUUUUUUCGGACUGGAAACUAUGUUUCUUAGGACUCAAACACUAACUACUACCAUGCUUUGGGCUCAUUCAGGGUCAGACAGAAUGCCAGUUAAUUUAAUCUCGAUCUAAGCUCUACUUCCUGUUUUUUGUCCACUUAUCCACUCUCCUAAUCACGCUGUUAUUCUCUUCAUAGCUUUGAUUGUCAAAGUACAGGAAGAAAAACGCAGAAAUCAACAGCGCAGCACGAGGUACUGUAUGUUCCGCGGCGACUUAAAAUAAGAGACUGGGUUGGUGUUGUUGUGUAAGGACUGACAGCAGUAGGUGGGUGAUGUAGUGAGAGGGCCACCUGCACUGUCUGCCACAUCCAACACAAAACACAGAGAGGACAAACCGCCUGUAGAUGAGUCACACCGAGCGAGGGAGAGAGAGAUAGAGGGAGAAAG